AUGAAUUUGGUUUGCUCCGUUUGGUUCACAUUCGUUUUUUUUAUUUAUAAAUGUUAUGGUGAAGAUUAUGAUAAAGAAAAUUUAAAAAAACUGACAGAGUAUCGGCAACAGCACAGAAAAACUGUUGACGGACGUUUGUGUGCGGCGGCGUUUGUACAAGAUGAUCAAACAUACACUGACUGUACGAAAUCGACAGACCCUAACGGAGUAACAGGAAGAGAAUGGUGUUAUGUAGAAGUACAGUUAAUAGGAAAAGGAACAAGGGACUGGGAAUAUUGUAAAGGUGUAAUUAAUUAUGACAUUGUAAGAUCAAAAGCAAGGACAUUUUUUCAAUCGAAAUCAAUGAAGUUGAGAUCUGCUGUAACAAAGUUAGAUAUAGAGCACAAAAAGUUAGUAGGUAUAUAUGAAAAAUAUGAGGAAAUAUGUGGUACAACAUCUGAAUUAAUAAAAAAUAAAAUACAUGAGAUAAAUGAUAUUGCUAAAAAUGUAAGUAGACAAAUAAACAAGUUGUUAUUACAAGCAUCUUCCAUUAGUAAUAUUGAAAAUAAUAUUAUUGAAUUAGAAGAUGAGGUUGAAAUAAAUAAGAAAUUUUUUUUAGAAAAUAAAAAAAAUUGUUCUAUAUUAAAAGGAUAUGCAGUAGAAGAUCGAGCAGAUGGUUUAGUUGGUAGUUAUUAUGAUAAUGCUUAUUUUUCAGGAUAUCCUUUAUCUAUUAUUAAUGAUAAAUAUAUAAAUUUUAUUUGGGAUACAGGUGUGCCUGUUGAAAACAUACCUUAUCAACAUUUUUCAAUUCGUUGGGAUGGGUAUUUAAAAAUACCACAAACAGAUAUGUACACUAUAGCAGUAGAACAUGAUUGUGGUGUUCGAAUCUAUUUAGAUGAUUCUCCGAUUAUUAUAUAUAACAUGCCAAACCCUAGAGAAGAAGAGUCAGAAGAAAUGAGACCAGUAUAUGUAUUACCAAUCGAAAAGGUGAAUGCACAAGUACAUAAAUCUUUUUCAGAAGAAUUAUAUUUAAAAGGAGGUCAAAAAUAUAAAUUUAGGGUAGAAUAUUUUCAUUUAAGUACUAUGAAAUAUGAAAACCCUGAUUUGGCUCAUAUUAUAUUAUAUUGGAAAUCGAAAAAAAUAAUAAAAGAAGAAAUAAUACAAGAUAAUUAUUUUUAUCAAGGCAAUGUAACUACACCUGUACAUAUUACCGAACUAAAAGGAGAUGAAUAUGAGCUUAUGUUACUUGACAAUGGGGAAUAUGCAUACAUCAAUAAUUUUAAUUAUUUUAUUAAUGAUAUUCCUAGUAUAUAUGAACGAUCAAAAGCAAUACGCACAAAAUACGAUGUUAGUACUAAUAGUAGUGCAAACAAAAGUGGUAUAAUAACUUUCCGAAUAAAUACCUUCAGUAAAGUGUUUAUAGCUAUACCAAAUGAUGAAAAAAUAGUUCCACUAAAUGAUAUAAAUAAAAAUAAAUUUAUAAAUACAAACGAAACGUUAUCCAUAUACCAAAUGGAUGAAAAUAAUAGUAAAGUAUCUGAACAAAAAAUAUAUGCUAUCUAUUCUUCUGAUUAUUUUGAUGGGGAAGUAGUAAUAAAAAAUGAAAAACCUGUUCCUUUUAUUAUUUUUGUUGUACAAAAUGAAUUACAAUCCAUUAAUAAUUGUAAAGGAUAUGUACAAGUUAUAUCUCUUACUAAUUCACCAUAUUUCAAUUCGUGUUAUGCUUCUUCGUAUGUAUCAGACAAAUUUAAUUGCAAUGCAGGGUUUAGCGGAUUUAAUGAUGAUAAAGAAUAUGGUACAUGGAAAGUUGCAAAAGGUAAAUCGCUAGGACAAUAUAUGACUAUAAAUUUUAAAUACGAUAUAGAUAUAUAUUCAUUUACUUUUAAACCGUUAAUAACAUCAGCAGAUUCAACUGAAACAAGUAACAUAACAGAAUUAUCAUUAUAUUUUGACAACAUAAAACAACCUCAUGUUUUUGCUAUUUCUCCUGGACAUCAUCACUAUAAAUUAAAAAUGCCAAUUAAAACAAAAAAUAUUAAAAUAGUCAUAUCAAAAGUAAAUGAUGCCAAAAAACAAGUAGGUGGUAAUAUAAAUUUUUAUGGUAUACCAUGUACUUAUGGUAAAGAAGAAGAAAAUGUGUUAGACAAAAAAAAUGAACAUGAAAUUAAUAUAUAUUUUAAAAGUAAAAAUAUUCAUAUAUCAUCUAAACCAUUAAGUUGGAUCGUAGAUAAUGGAUUAUUGAAACAAAAACAAGGUAUUCUAAAUUAUGGUUGGAAAAAGUUACCUACUCCUAUCGAAUGGCCACAAUUAGAUAAAAAAGAUAUAGAUCAUACAGGUAUUUCUUUUUUCCCAAAUGACUGUAUAGACAAUGUUAAUAAUGAUAGUAUAUCAUGUGAUACAACUAAUACUUGGUCUAUCGAUUUAUUACAUGAAGGUACAUAUUAUGUAGCAAUCGAAAUAGGUUCACCCACUGGAAAUCAAGAAAUCAACUCUAUUCAAUUGAAUGGAGAAAUGUUUAUAAAUAAUAUGUUUUUAAAACCAAAACAAUAUACCAAAGUUACUUCUAAUGUUUUUAUAUCCAAAAAUAAAACAUUAGAAAUAACUACAAAUACAAAAACGGUUAUACAAUCAAUACAAAUUAUAUUUCUUCAUAACUGAAUGGUGGAUAUGGUGUAGGUAUUAUCUACGUUCCCUUUUUUAUUCCUUUGCAGUGUUAUUUGUGACUGUUUACCAUUUUUAAGCUGGUGGGGUUGUGUGUUGGUUCGACUUACAAACGUUGGAUGUGAUUAUGGUGUACGUAUAUACUCAUAUAUAUGUACAUGUUUAUAUGUACAUAUUUA
ensembl:lncRNA